rnacentral:rRNA from 1 species
GACGAACCGUGCGAACGUUGUUCGGAAUCACUGGGCUUAAAGGGCGCGUAGGCGGGUUCUCAAGUCUGGAGUGAAAGCCCGCGGCUCAACCGCGGAAGCGCUUCGGAUACUGGGGGCCUCGAGGGAGGUAGGGGCGUGCGGAACUUCCGGUGGAGCGGUGAAAUGCGUAGAUAUCGGAAGGAACACCGGUGGCGAAAGCGGCGCGCUGGACCUCUUCUGACGCUGAGGCGCGAAAGCCAGGGGAGCAAACGGG